AACGAACGCUGGCGGCAGGCUUAACACAUGCAAGUCGAACGCGUGUAGCAAUACACGAGUGGCGCACGGGUGAGUAACGCGUGGAUAUCUGCCUUUUGGUUCGGAAUAACCCCGGGAAACUGGGGCUAAUACCGGAUGGUUCCUUCGGGAUAAAGAUUUAUCGCCAAAAGAUGAGUCCGCGUCCGAUUAGCUAGUUGGUGAGGUAAUGGCUCACCAAGGCGACGAUCGGUAGCUGGUCNGAGAGGACGAUCAGCCACACUGGGACUGAGACACGGCCCAGACUCCUACGGGAGGCAGCAGUGGGGAAUAUUGGACAAUGGGGGCAACCCUGAUCCAGCCAUGCCGCGUGAGUGAUGAAGGCCUUCGGUUGU
rnacentral:rRNA from 1 species